GACGAACGCUGGCGGCGCGCUUAACACAUGCAAGUCGAGCGAAGCGGCGGACGGGUGAGUAACACGUGAGUAACCUGCCUUAGACAUUGGGCUAGCCUCGGGAAACCGGGAUUAAUACCAAAUGGUCUAAGAUGGACUCGCGUCCCAUUAGCUAGUUGGUGCGGUAACGGCCCACCAAGGCGACGGUGGGUAGCCGGCCUGGGAAGGGGAACGGCCACAUUGGAAGUGGGAAACGGUCCAAACCCUGCGGGAGGCAGGAGUGUGGAAUAUUGCACAAUGGAGGGAACUCUGAGGCAGCGACGCCGCGUGAACGAAGAAGGCUUUCGGGUCGUAAAGUGCUUUUAUAUGGGAAGCGGUACCAAAAGAAAAAGCCCCGGCUAACUACGUGCCAGCAGCCGCGGUAAUAC
rnacentral:rRNA from 1 species